rnacentral:lncRNA from 1 species
AGCGGGUCGAUGUAUGGUGGAUACUUCCACCUGUGCUUUUAGCUGGGGUCUGUGCAUCAAGGUAUGGGAAUCGCGGAUGCACUUCUGUAUAGGUGCCACCAGCACACUUGCAUUGAGGACUCUGAAACAUAACUGUGUGUCAGUCAAGUCAUAUUUGAACCAUGUGUGUCUCUUGGACCCGGAUGUGAAUUUCAGCAUGUGUAAGACAUAUAUAGGUAGUACGGUAAUCUCGGGAAUUGAGAUGAGUCUGUCGAAUCCAAUUCAAAUUUCACAUGUUGAUAUAUGGCUUCCGUUUUCUUGCAGGUUUCGGAUGUUGAAGACUUACCUCCACACGAUAACUAGAGGACUGGAACAAAAUGUUCGUUUCUGCAAGUGUCCCUGCCACCAACGAAGCAGCAAUUGCCAAACCUGCCGGCAGUGCACGAACGUCCUGUUGGAGAGGCUCUGGUGCUUUGGCGUGCAUCAUCCACAACUGAAGAACUUUAAUACUCAAGAACUGAUUAGUACUUGUAACUAUCUUCUGUUCCAGGCCAAAAGAAGACCAAUUUAAAAUUAAUAAAAAUAAAAAAACAAAAACACCAUGUCCAAGCGUAAGAAACUCAUGACGGACGCACACAAUCCUUGCGAACAGCACGAUAAAACACUGCCACUGUCAGUUGCACUCCUUCAAAACCACUGUCAGGGCCGAUCUCUCCCAAACCACAUUGCGAAUCACACUUGGCUCAUCAAGAACAUGAGAACUAAGCAGCAACACCUCGCACCGACUCCCCAGAGCAGAAUUGCCAAAAUGAGCACACACGCGACGAAGCCCGCAUGCUGGCACGCAGCAGCGACGCGAACCAGACCCGAGAGCGCAGUCGGCUUGGGGAAUGUGGUUCGGGGUUGGGGUGCGAGGGGAAAGGGAAAGUGCAGUGGGGUGUGAGCAUGCAGAGGGCGCGAUUGAGCAGAAUUGGGGGCGGGGGAUGAGGGGUCCAGACGCGAGGAGGUUUAGGAGUGGGCGCAC